rnacentral:rRNA from 1 species
ACGGGAGGCAGCAGUGAGGAAUAUUGGUCAAUGGACGGAAGUCUGAACCAGCCAAGUAGCGUGAGGGAUGACGGCCCUAUGGGUUGUAAACCUCUUUUGUGAGGGAAUAAAGUGCGCCACGUGUGGUGUAUUGCAUGUACCUUACGAAUAAGGAUCGGCUAACUCCGUGCCAGCAGCCGCGGUAAUACGGAGGAUCCGAGCGUUAUCCGGAUUUAUUGGGUUUAAAGGGAGCGUAGGCGGAAGGUCAAGUCAGCUGUGAAAUGUAGUCGCUCAACGUCUGCACUGCAGUUGAAACUGGCCUCCUUGAGUGCGUAAGAGGCAGGUGGAAUUCGUCGUGUAGCGGUGAAAUGCUUAGAUAUGACGAAGAACUCCGAUUGGGAAGCCAGCUUACUGUAGCGCCACUGACGCUGAUGCUCGAAAGCGUGGGUAUCGAACAGGAUUAGAUACCCUGGUA